rnacentral:rRNA from 1 species
UAGUCCACGCCCUAAACGAUGCUAACUCGAUAUUUGGAUCUUGAAUCUGAGUGUCUAAGCGAAAGCGAUAAGUUAGCCACCUGGGGAGUACGUUCGCAAGAAUGAAACUCAAAGGAAUUGACGGGGGCCCGCACAAGCGGUGGAGCAUGUGGUUUAAUUCGAUGAUACGCGAGGAACCUUACCAGGGCUUAAAUGUAGUAUGACAGACUGAGAGAUCGGUUUUUCUCGGACAUAUUACAAGGUGCUGCAUGGUUGUCGUCAGCUCGUGCCGUGAGGUGUCAGGUUAAGUCCUAUAACGAGCGCAACCCCUGUUGUUAGUUGCCAGCGAGUAAUGUCGGGAACUCUAGCAAGACUGCCGGUGCAAACCGCGAGGAAGGUGGGGGACGACGUCAAAUCAUCAUGGGCCUUUAUGCCCAGGGGCGACACACGUGCUACAAUGGGUGCAUACAGAGGGGUCG